rnacentral:rRNA from 1 species
GUGAGGAAUUUUCCGCAAUGGGCGAAAGCCUGACGGAGCAAUGCCGCGUGAAGGAUGAAGGCCUAUGGGUUGUAAACUUCUUUUCUCAGAAAAGAAUUAUGACGGUAUCUGAGGAAUAAGCAUCGGCUAACUCUGUGCCAGCAGCCGCGGUAAGACAGAGGAUGCAAGCGUUAUCCGGAAUGAUUGGGCGUAAAGCGUCUGUAGGUUGUUUAAAAAGUAUUCUGUCAAAGAUUAGGGCUUAACCCUAGAUAGGCAGAAUAAAAUGUUAAGCUAGAGUGUGGUAGGGGCAGAGGGAAUUCCCGGUGGAGCGGUGAAAUGCGUAGAUAUCGGGAGGAACACCAAAGGCGAAGGCACUCUGCUGGGCCAAUACUAACACUGAGAGACGAAAGCGAGGGGAGCAAAUGGGAUUAGAAACCCGAGUAGUCC